rnacentral:rRNA from 15 species
GCGACCCCAGGUCAGGCGGGGCUACCCGCUGAGUUUAAGCAUAUCAAUAAGCGGAGGA